UGAGAGCUUAAAGCCCUGAUCUAGUUUAGGGC
rnacentral:piRNA from 1 species